rnacentral:rRNA from 1 species
GACGAACGCUGGCGGCGUGCUUAACACAUGCAAGUCGAACGGAAAGGCCCUGCUUUUGUGGGGUGCUCGAGUGGCGAACGGGUGAGUAACACGUGAGUAACCUGCCCUUGACUUUGGGAUAACUUCAGGAAACUGGGGCUAAUACCGGAUAGGAGCUCCUGCUGCAUGGUGGGGGUUGGAAAGUUUCGGCGGUUGGGGAUGGACUCGCGGCUUAUCAGCUUGUUGGUGGGGUAGUGGCUUACCAAGGCUUUGACGGGUAGCCGGCCUGAGAGGGUGACCGGACACAUUGGGACUGAGAUACGGCCCAGACUCCCACGGGAGGCAGCAGUGGGGAAUAUUGCACAAUGGGCGGAAGCCUGAUGCAGCAACGCCGCGUGCGGGAUGACGGCCUUCGGGUUGUAAACCGCUUUCGCCUGUGACGAAGCGUGAGUGACGGUAAUGGGUAAAGAAGCACCGGCUAACUACGUG